GUGCCAGCAGCCGCGGUAAUACCAGCUGCACAAGUGUAUAUUAAAGUUGUUGCAGUUAAAAAGCUCGUAGUUGGAUAUCUGUCUGGACUGAUCUAGCCCUGCGGCUUUUGCUGCGGUGUGCUGGUUUGUGUUGACCUCGUGCUUCGGCGCGGCGUGUCGGCCAUCAUGUCGGACAUCCUUCAGGAGAACUAUCCUGUCAUUGAUUUGAUUGGGGUAAGGAUCCUGAUCGUUUACUUCGAAAAAACUUGAGUGUUUAACGCAGGCUUUGUGUCGCGAAUAGAUUAGCAUGGAAUAAUAAGAUAGGACUUCGGCAUCGUGCGUAGUUGCCUUGGAUCAGCUGGCUCUUGCUCCGUUUCGGCGAGUGUGAGGCGUGGCCCUUGGAAUACGGCUGCGUGCUGUUCAUUUUGUUGGUUUCUAGAGCUGAAGUAAUGAUUGAUAGGGAUAGUUGGGGGUGCUC
rnacentral:rRNA from 1 species